UUCUGCUGUCAAGGUCGGAGCUUAACUCCGGUUCGGCAGUGGAAACUGGAGUGCUACUUUAAGACAGGGGUAGAGGGAAUUCCCAGUGUAGCGGUCCUUUGCGUAGAGAUUGGGAAGAACACCGGUGGCGAAAGCGCUCUACUGGGUCGCACCUGACCCUCAGGGACGAAAGCUAAGGUAGCGAAAGGGAUUAGAUACCCCUGUAGUCUUAGCCGUAAACGAUGGAUACUAGGCGUGGUUUGUAUCGACCCAAGCCGUGCCGAAGCUAACGCGUUAAGUAUCCCGCCUGGGGAGUACGCACGCAAGUGUGAAACUCAAAGGAAUUGACGGGGGCCCGCACAAGCGGUGGAGGAUGUGGUUUAAUUCGAUGCAACGCGAAGAACCUUACCAGGUCUUGACAUCCCGCGAAUCCUGGUGAAAGUGGGGAGUGCCUUCGGGAACGCGGAGACAGGUGGUGCAUGGCUGUCGUCAGCUCGUGUCGUGAGAUGUUGGGUUAAGUCCCGCAACGAGCGCAACCCUCGUCCUUAGUUGCCAGCCUUAAGUGGGGCACUCUAGGGAGACUGCCGGUGACAAACCGGAGGAAGGUGAGGAUGACGUCAAGUCAGCAUGCCCCUUAUGCUCUGGGCAACACACGUCCUACAAUGGGCGGGACAAAGGGGAGCGAGCUCGCGAGAGUCAGCGAAUCCCAGCAAACCCGGCCUCAGUUCAGAUUGCAGGCUGCAACCUCGCCUGCAUGAAGGAGGAAUCGCUAGUAAUCGCCGGGUCGCAUACGGCGGUGAAUUCGUUCCCGGGCCUGGUACCCACCGCCGCCACACCUGGAAGCUGGCCAAGCCCGAAUUCCUUCCCUAACCUUUGGAG
rnacentral:rRNA from 1 species